rnacentral:rRNA from 1 species
UUCCAGCUCCAAUAGCGUAUAUUAAAGUUGUUGCAGUUAAAAAGCUCGUAGUUGGAUUUCUGGGAGGGUGCCGAUGUCCACUUAACGUGUGCGCAGCGGCGCCCUCUCAUCCUUCUGUUAGCGUCUCUUGGCAUUCAUUUGCUGGUGGCGGGCUCAGAUAUUUUACCUUGAGAAAAUUAGAGUGUUUCAGGCAGGCUAGGCCGGAAUACAUUAGCAUGGAAUAAUGGAAUAGGACUACGGUCUCUUUGUUGGUUUGAGGGACUGCAGUAAUGAUUAAUAGGGAUAGUUGGGGGCAUUAGUAUUUAAUUGUCAGAGGUGGAAUUCUCGGAUUUGUUAAAGACUAACUUAUGCGAAAGCAUUUGCCAAGGAUGUUUUCAUCA